rnacentral:rRNA from 1 species
UACGUAGGGUGCAAGCGUUGUCCGGAAUUAUUGGGCGUAAAGAGCUCGUAGGCGGUCUGUCGCGUCUGCUGUGAAAACCUAGGGCUUAACCCUGGGCCUGCAGUGGGUACGGGCAGACUAGAGUGCGGUAGGGGAGACUGGAAUUCCUGGUGUAGCGGUGAAAUGCGCAGAUAUCAGGAGGAACACCGGUGGCGAAGGCGGGUCUCUGGGCAGUAACUGACGCUGAGGAGCGAAAGCGUGGGGAGCGAACAGG